AUUUAAUUGUUGGCAGUGGAGGUGAGGGUAUCUUGCUGGAGAUUCUUGCCUACGUGAGGCCUACUAAGGGAUUGCAGGGGCAGUAUAAAGAGGAGAAGAACAGCAACGGACUGCUCUGCUUCUAAUGACAUCAAGUGAUUUGAAUCUGACUCUGAUGCUACCAUAAAUUCUCUCAAAUCUUUCUUUCUCCUUGCCUUCCCUCUGGGUUGGAAAAACAAACAAACAAACAAAAACAACAACCAACUACAGAAGUAGCUAUUGCCCAGGAAUUGAGCAAGAAAUUCUUCAUUUCCACCUAUAGCCCUGGAAUAUUGUCUGACAAGCACAAGAAAAAUAAGCUCAGCAAACUGCAGUCCAGAGGCCAUCUUGUACAAUGUGUAUAAUGCUAAUCCCAAAGCAUUAGAUGUCUCAUUGCUGGUGGGAGCUGUUGGAGAAGAACAAUAAAAAGGACAACGUUUUUGGGGGAAAGUAAUGCAAGAAUUGUUUCAGGAUUUGCUCCUGGGCUGCUGAAAAAGUAGGGGUUGAGCACAAAAUUCUUAGGCUUGAAAAGACAAAAUUGCUUGAAGUGUAGGAGGAAGACCUGUUUCCCCCUCUCUAUCCUAUU